rnacentral:rRNA from 1 species
ACUCAAAGGAAUUGACGGGGGCCCGCACAAGCAGCGGAGCGUGUGGAUUAAUUCGAUGCAACGCGCAGAACCUUACCUAGGCUUGACAUGACGUGUUCAUCCACCGAAAGGUGGUGCCCGCAAGGGGAACGUCACAGGUGCUGCAUGGCUGUCGUCAGCUCGUGCCGUGAGGUGUUGGGUUAAGUCCCGCAACGAGCGCAACCCCCGUCCCCAGUUGCCGUUUCUGGGGAGACUGCCGGGCGAACCCCGGAGGAAGGUGGGGAUGACGUCAAGUCCGCAUGGCCCUUACGUCUAGGGCUUCACACACGCUACAAUGGCCGGUACAGCGGGACGCCACUUCGCAAGAAGGAGCCAAUCCCCCAAAGCCGGCCCCAGUACGGAUCGUAGGCUGCAACCCGCCUGCGUGAAGUCGGAGUUGCUAGUAACCGCGCGUCAGCACAGUGCGGUGAAUGCGUUCCCGGGCCUUGCACACACCGCCCGU